GACGAACGCUGGCGGCGUGCCUAAUACAUGCAAGUUGAGCGCUGAAGGUUGGUACUUGUACCAACUGGAUGAGCAGCGAACGGGUGAGUAACGCGUGGGGAAUCUGCCUUUGAGCGGGGGACAACAUUUGGAAACGAAUGCUAAUACCGCAUAAAAACUUUAAACACAAGUUUUAAGUUUGAAAGAUGCAAUUGCAUCACUCAAAGAUGAUCCCGCGUUGUAUUAGCUAGUUGGUGAGGUAAAGGCUCACCAAGGCGAUGAUACAUAGCCGACCUGAGAGGGUGAUCGGCAAAAUUGGGACUGAGACACGGCCCAAACUCCUACGGGAGGCAGCAGUAGGGAAUCUUCGGCAAUGGACGAAAGUCUGACCGAGCAACGCCGCGUGAGUGAAGAAGGUUUUCGGAUCGUAAAACUCUGUUGGUAGAGAAGAACGUUGGUGAGAGUGGAAAGCUCAUCAAGUGACGGUAACUACCCAGAAAGGGACGGCUAACUACGUG
rnacentral:rRNA from 1 species